rnacentral:ncRNA from 1 species
UGACCUCAAAUCAGGUAGGAUUACCCGCUGAACUUAAGCAUAUCAAUAAGCGGAGGAAAAGAAACCAACAGGGAUUGCCUUAGUAACGGCGAGUGAAGCGGCAAAAGCUCAAAUUUGAAAUCUGGUACUUUCAGUGCCCGAGUUGUAAUUUGGAGAAGGCAACUUUGGGGCUGGUCCUUGUCUAUGUUCCUUGGAACAGGACGUCAUAGAGGGUGAGAAUCCCGUGUGGCGAGGAACCCAGUCCUUUGUAAAGUGCUUUCGAAGAGUCGAGUUGUUUGGGAAUGCAGCUCAAAGUGGGUGGUAAAUUCCAUCUAAAGCUAAAUAUGGCGAAAAACCGAUAGCGAACAAGUACAGUGAUGGAAAAAUGAAAAAAACUUUUGAAAAAAAAUGAAAAAGUACGUGAAAUUGUUGAAAGGGAAGGCAUUUGAUCAAAAUGGGGGUUUUCCCCCCUUCCCUUCCCGGGGGGAAGGAAUCUCCAACUCAUUGGGCACUCAGUUUGGUGGGCAGGAAAAUCAUAGGAAUGGCCUGGCUCGGGAAAUUUUAACCGGGGAAAUCUGCCACUGGAAUGAGACCGCAACUUGCCAGGAGUUGGAAAAGGUUUUGCCCGCGCCUGAAACGGACCAGGAUCAACUUUUGCAAGUUGGUGUAACCGCCCCAUUAAGAACUAGUUGGGCUCCAAGGGCACAAACACCCAGGUUAAGAAUUGAAAACAAUUUGGCACAAGAGAUUCCUAGAGGAAACAAACCGGGAGGGGGCUCCGCACUUCUAUGGUGGGAAAAAAACUAUGUGUCCCACCAA